rnacentral:rRNA from 1 species
CCUACGGGAGCCAGCAGUGGGGAAUAUUGGACAAUGGGGGGAACCCUGAUCCAGCCAUGCCGCGUGUGUGAAGAAGGCCCUCGGGUUGUAAAGCACUUUCAGUGAGGAAGAACGCCUGGUGGUUAAUACCCAUCAGGAAAGACAUCACUCACAGAAGAAGCACCGGCUAACUCCGUGCCAGCAGCCGCGGUAAUACGGAGGGUGCGAGCGUUAAUCGGAAUUACUGGGCGUAAAGCGCGCGUAGGUGGCUUGAUAAGCCGGUUGUGAAAGCCCCGGGCUCAACCUGGGAACGGCAUCCGGAACUGGCAAGCUAGAGUGCAGGAGAGGAAGGUAGAAUUCCCGGUGUAGCGGUGAAAUGCGUAGAGAUCGGGAGGAAUACCAGUGGCGAAGGCGGCCUUCUGGACUGACACUGACACUGAGGUGCGAAAGCGUGGGUAGCAAACAGGAUUAGAUACCCCUGUAGUC